rnacentral:rRNA from 1 species
UACGUAGGGGGCAAGCGUUGUCCGGAUUUAUUGGGCGUAAAGAGCGUGUAGGCGGCUAGGUAGGUCCGUUGUGAAAACUCGAGGCUCAACCUCGAGCUGUCGAUGGAAACCAUCUGGCUAGAGUCCGGAAGAGGAGAGUGGAAUUCCCGGUGUAGCGGUGAAAUGCGCAGAUAUCGGGAGGAACACCAAUGGCGAAGGCAGCUCGCUGGGACGGUACUGACGCUGAGACGCGAAAGCGUGGGGAGCAAACAGG